AGGUAAACGGGUGGAGCUGAAACGGGCGUCAGGGAUUCAGUACGUCUGCUGUUUGUGACCUGCUCACUGACAUCUGCAAAGAGUCGGUUUGUGGUGACACGAGCGGUGUGAUGUAUGCAUUUUCCUGGCGUUUCAACUGCGACCGAUUGUCGACUGAUUUGUUGUUUGAAGGAAGGUAGUGUAGCUCUUCGGAGAUGCAUGUUAUAGCCCUGGACACGAAUCUGGUUGGUGAUCGGAGACGGCGUAGUGCUGUUGCGCUUGUCGGCGAGUAUGUGGUCUGUUCGGUACGACUAAUAAUAGUCUGCCUUACGGUGCUGCUAAUUUGUUGGCUGGUGCUGGUGUUACGAUAGUCAGCGGUUUCAAAUUAGGUCAUCCACCUGACCCGUCUUGAAACACGGACCAAGAAGUUCAGCAUGCGUGCGAGUCUAAGGGUCCAACGAAACCUGGAGGCGCAAUGAAAGUGAAGGUCUGUCCUAGACAGGCUGAGAUGAGAUCCCCAAAACUUCGGUGGAAGGGCGCAUCAUCGGCCCGUAUCAAUUUUCUUCGGAAAAGAUGCGGAGCAAGAGCACGUAUGCUGAGACCCGAAAGAUGGUGACCUAUGCUUGUGCAGGUUGAAGCCAGAGGAAACUCUGGUGGAGGACCGAAGCGGUUCUGACGUGCAAAUCGAUCGUCAGACAUGAGUAUAGGGGCGAAAGACUAAUCGAACCAUCUAGUAGCUGGUUCCUCCUGAAGUUUCCCUCAGGAUAGCAGGUGUUCACUGACCAGUCGUAUCCGGUAAAGCGAAUGAUUAGAGGUACUGGGAGCUAAUAGUUCUCAACCUAUUCUCAAACUUUCAAUGGGUACGAUGUCUGACCAGAUUAAUUUUUGGUUGGGCCGGUUGGAUGCGAAUGCCUAGUGGGCCAUUUUUGGUAAGCAGAACUGGCGCUGUGGGAUGAACCAAACGUCUGGUUAAAGUGGCUAACGCAACGCUCAUGAGACACCACAAAAGGUGUUGGUUGAUAUUGACAGUAGGACGGUGGCCAUGGAAGUCGGAAUCCGCUAAGGAGUGUGUAACAACUCACCUACCGAAUCAACCAGCCCUGAAAAUGGAUGCCGCUGUAGCGUUGGACUUAUACCGGACCGGCAUUGCUGACGAUUCUUGCUCAUAGGCAAUGCCGAGUAAGGAGGACGCCGUGGUUGCAACGAAGCAUAGAACGUGAGUUCGUGU
rnacentral:rRNA from 1 species